UGGCUCAGUGGUAGAGUGCUUGCCUAGCAUGCAUGAGGCACCUGGGUUCGAUCCCCGG
rnacentral:tRNA from 1 species